rnacentral:rRNA from 1 species
GCGAUCAUACCAGCACUAAUGCACCGGAUCUCAUCAGAACUCCGAAGUUAAGCGUGCUUGGGCGAGAGCAGUACUAGGAUGGGUGACCCCCUGGGAAGUCCUCGUGUUGCACCU